rnacentral:rRNA from 1 species
UACAGAGGUCUCAAGCGUUGUUCGGAUUCAUUGGGCGUAAAGGGUGUGUAGGUGGCGCCGUAAGUCGGGUGUGAAAUUUCGGAGCUUAACUCCGAAACUGCAUUCGAUACUGCGGUGCUUGAGGACUGGAGAGGAGACUGGAAUUCAUGGUGUAGCAGUGAAAUGCGUAGAGAUCAUGAGGAAGACCAGUGGCGAAGGCGGGUCUCUGGACAGUUCCUGACACUGAGACACGGAAGGCCAGGGGAGCAAACGGG